rnacentral:rRNA from 1 species
UACGAAGGGGGCUAGCGUUGCUCGGAAUUACUGGGCGUAAAGGGCGCGUAGGCGGACAGCUUAGUCAGAGGUGAAAGCCCAGGGCUCAACCUUGGAAUUGCCUUUGAUACUGGCUGUCUUGAGUUCGGGAGAGGUGAGUGGAAUGCCGAGUGUAGAGGUGAAAUUCGUAGAUAUUCGGCGGAACACCAGUGGCGAAGGCGACUCACUGGCCCGAUACUGACGCUGAGGUGCGAAAGCGUGGGGAGCAAACAGG